rnacentral:antisense_RNA from 1 species
CGCGCGGCCCGGGGGCGGUGGCGUCGAGCGGGCCGGGGUCGCCCGCGUCGCCCAGCGCCAGGCCCAGGCCGGCGGCCGCCGACUGCAGGAAGAGCAGCGAGCCCGGCUCGGCGCCCAGCGACAGGGAGCCGUCCAGACUGAUGGGAGGCCCGGGCGCGGGGCCCUCUGCCGCGGGUUCGCCGCGCUCCUGCUUCUCGUGCUUGCGCUUGUGCGAGUCCAUCUGCGACAUGCCCACCACCGUGUGGCGGCAGCCCGGGAAGGUGCAGUGGAAGUGCGAGCACUUGAGCUUGUACUUGCAGUCGGGCACGGCGCAGUCGGCGCUGGAGCUGAACUGGCAGAAGCCCGCGGCGCUGAUCACGUCCUGUUUGCCGUGGUGCUUGCGGUGCGCCGUGACCUUGGUGCUGUCGGUGCAGCGGAAGCGGCAGCGCAGGCAGUGGAAGUGCGUGCUGGUGCCCGAGAAGGGGCAGUCGGCGAAGUGGCAGCUGAGUGAGGCCUUGAAGCGCUUGAAGUCGUCCAGCACCAGGUUGUCCACGCGGUCGUGGUGCUGCGCGUGCUUGUACAUGUGCGUGCGGCCGCAGAACUUGUAGCCGCAGUUCUCGCGCGUGCAGUGGUAGUGGGUGACCUUGAGCGAGAACUGACAAGCUGCGUCCUUGCAGUCCUCGUAGAGGUCGAAGCGCCGGAAGCCCUCCAGCAUCAUGCCCUCGUCCAGCAUCUUCCGGGAGGACGCCGUCUUCCGCCGCUUGCCGAAGGGCGACAUGUCCUCGAUGAUCCAGAAGCGCUUUUUGGCCCCCGAGGCUGUCGGCAUGGAGAUGGUGUUCCCUGGGGAGGGGCAGGGAGGAAGUCGCACACAUGACAAUACAAAGUCACCGUUCUCCCUGCAAGGAGCCACCACCAUCCAGUGAGGAGGGUCCCUUCCACCCAAGAGCUCGGACCACUGUGCAGGCCAGUGAUGGCCUGGAGGGGCCUGGCCCCCUCGCGCCCCACCCGUGACUUCAUGUGCCCUGCAGAGAUUCAGCCAUGGGUGUGAGCCACAGAGCAGGCCGAUACGGAGGCCCGGAGGGAGACGCAGCCCUGCUUGUCAGGGCGAGAGUUGUCCUCUGAGGACCACCACGCCCAGUCCACCCCAGCUGGCCCUGGCAGGAUCACCACAUGCCCUGCAGGAGCAGCGGCCACUGCCGCCACCAUCGGCCCACGCUGGCUGGCCUGUUCUGGGACAGGCAGUGAGGUAGGAGCAGCAGCAUCUUUGGCUAGAAGGACAUCACCCGAUGGCCAUGCCCCAGAGAGGCUGGGGACAGCAGCACCAUCCGCAGUGAGGAACAGGGCCUCCUAGCGCCCUUGCUAGCACCUACUCCCGAGACGCGAGGGGAAUGCGGGACUCCCGGCUCAUCGAGGGACUCACUUCUCCUGGAACUGGAGGAAUCCGGGUUUGACCUGGGGCUUGGCGUUCUCUAGAGAAGUCGUUGCCAAGGGCGAGGCGGGCAGGUGAGGCACUGAUGCUGGGAUCUGAGGCAUCUGGGGUAUGGUGGAAGCCAGCUGCUUCCAGGCGAGCAGGGUGGGGGUGGAGGGUACGGAGGCCGGGCUGGGAGCGGGCCCCUGCAGAGAGGACACCGUGGCCGUGGUGACAGGAGGGACCGGAGGGGACGAGGGGGCCAUGGGAGGUUUGGUCUCGGCAGCCGAGGCUGGGAAGGCAGCCUCUGUGUUUCCUUUUGCUGCUCCUCCCUCUGUCCGGAAGUGGAAGCUGUGAGAGGUAGAAGAGGGGGUCUCAUGGGGGGCAGUGAAGACAGGUGUGGAGGGGCACGCGUGUGACCCCAUCACAGGCCUAGACCCUGGUGUCCGUCCCUACUCGUCCCCAUCACUCAGCUCCAGAAGUCCCCUGUGACCCCACCAGGACAGAAGGACUGGAGGGCAAACUGCCGCGUCCUCUGGUUCCGAACUUGGUCUCCUGGCUUGGGCCUAACCAUGCCUUCCUACUUGUGCCCUUCCUCGGUCCCCAGCUCCUCCAUGUGUGUGACAGCAGGCCCUGCCCCAGGAAGCCCCUUCCUUCCAGAACCUGCUCGGAGGUCUUAAAGGUAGGAUUCUCAGUAUUCACAGCAGGCUUCCCCACGGGCUACGGCCAAGGGUGCCUAUGUGGUCAGAAAAGCCUUGGGAGCACUGCAGAUCUGUUUUAAACAAUUGCAAGUUCUGAGUUCCCUUGUAAGCGGGCGGCUAGGCUCGAAGCCUUUUAACUCAAUGGGAUUUACAAAUUCAUUUCAUUAUGUUUAGGUCAAAGGUAACCUAGAGAUGUAAUAUUGUGGCUUGGAAAGGCCUUCAGCUAGGGUUUCUGCUCCAGGUCACAGCCGAGUCUCUCCAGCUGGGCUCUGUGCCCCUCUGGCCUGCUCUGCAGGGAGCACGUGCUGGGACUGAUGGCUGCCCUGGAGACGUGGGUGCAGCAGCAGCUGUUGCUCAGGGUCCCAGGAAGGGCCUGGACAGGGGCUCAGAGCCCCCGGCUGAGGGCUGCAUGUGUGAAGGAGGAUGGGAAGCCCACCCUUGCUGGGGCAGCAUCUCCGAGAAGCCGGCUCAGCUUCUGUGGUCUAGUGGGAACUGCUGUGCCAGCCCAAGCCCCACCCACCCCAGAGCCAGGCUGGGAUCAGUGGGGCUCUGCUGAAAUGGCCCCCAGCACCCUACUCACUUUGCGUGCUUGAUGGCCCCGUCCAAGGUGCUGAAGAGCGCGCCGCAUUCCUCCACCACGCAGUGGAAGUGGGCCUUGUGGAGGAAGUCACACUGGCCAUCACAGAAAUCCUUUGUACCAAACCUAGCCAGAGGAGCCGGCGUUAGAGGAGAGCCUGGGGCUCCAGGGCGGGUGCUGGGGGAGGAUGGGUGGACGCGGCCAGCAGCCCCUCACCUGCGCAGGUACACCUUCCAGGGCUCUGCCAACUUCUCCUGAACCAGCGCCUUCACGGCCUUGCCUAGGAAGGGUGAGGGCUCCGCAGCGGGGCUCCCCUCCGCUUCCGCCUUGAUGUUCAGCAGGCUGCCCAGGCCAGGGUUGCCCUGAGACAUCUGUGAGGACAGAGGCCGAACAUGGGGCUGGGGUAGCUUGGAACACAGACACGGCAGCCUGGGGGGACAACAGCCGAAGCUCUGGGCUGCUGGGACCCACCGAGCCCUCAGAGCCAGCAGAGAAUUCGGCCCGCCUACUUGGCUCUGGCUGUGGCCGGGCCCUCUCUGAACAGAGAGCCUGCUGUGCUGCCCCGACCCCAGGAGCUGCGAGGCCUCCUCAGGGCUCCUCCACAUGAGCCCGUGCCGCGGGAUCCAUCACUCAAGCCAAGGCCGCGACUCAGGGUGCACGCUGCAGCCCAUCUUUCCCCAGACUUCGCGGCUCCCUGGUUAUUUUCCUGCCAGAAGGUUUUCAAAAGAAGCGCAGAAGGAGGAGGGAUGGGGGAACCCCUACGAAUUCCUUGAGAACAAGAGGAGGCCCAUAAAGGAGAGAGAGGGAGGGAGGGAGGGAGGGAGGCUUACGGGUGAGACCCAGACAGGCUCGCUGCAGCGGCCGGGAGGGGGUCAUUGCAAGGCUCCAAGGGAAGGGAGGGGGUCGUGGGGGCGGAGGCCAAAGGAAGGGGAAGGGGAAGGAGAGCAAGAGAGCAAGUGGCCAAGGAGUGGACGCCACAGGCCAGCAAGGCUCCUUCUCCACCGAGUGCCCGGCUGGGGCCCUGCGGCGAGAGGUCCGGCCCAGGCCCGGCCCCUCCUCAGGGCAGUCACUUGUGUACAGUAACCGAAUUAAUCUUGCUGUAGUCAAAUGUAUCAUGUGAAGGGGAAAAAUAUAUUUGAGAUGAUGUAUAAUUUACAAAGACCCUGCAUUAUUUAAAAUAAAUAUUCCGGAGCGACCUCUCCGGAAGGCGUCCGAGACCAUUACUCAACCCGAAAAGUGGAAAUUGAUGUUUUGCUCCCACUUUAGUCCCCCCUCCCCCAUCCCCUUUUAAACAAACAAAAAAUAUAUAUAAAAUAAAUAAAUUAAAUUAAUAACGAGGCACGAACGAAGUUGAAGGGCUCUGGAAAAGCUUUUGGAGCCCUCCAUCUGAAGGGAAAAAAAGGUGUCAGAGGCUGGAAUAUAUUUCUUCAGCCAGUUCAUUAAAUUAAUUUGUAAGCAGUGGCUCUGAAAUUAUAUCCGAUGAAAAAUGGCCUCAAAAUUUAAAUGGUACAAACUCAUCUUAUUAGAGGCAAAACAUUAAAAAACAAACACAUCCCCCCAGCCCCCAGCACAGCUUUAAUUUCUCUGGGUGGGGGAACGGGAGGCGUGUGAUGGAUGGCUCUUACCUUAUUCAUAAGCGAGGAUAAAAGAGAUGAAUUUGCCGGGACUGCGUGGCCAUUUGAUUCAUUACUAGAACACACAAACCAAGGGGCUUGAGCUCAGACGGCCGGGGCCUGGGCCCUGGGGCUCACCCUCCCUGCCCGACCCUGGGGCUCCAGCCGUGCCCGCUGCAACUGCCCGGGCAGGACCACCCCGGGGCUCCAGCUCAAAGGUGCGGUUCCCGGGGCUGGCUCCCACGGGGGGCCUCGCCUCACCUGGGCUCCUUCACAGUCAGGUCUAGACUGCGGUCCUGGGAGGCUUCAUUGGGGCCUGGGGCGCCGGUGCUCUCACCGGGGUCCGGCUUCACUUGGGCCGGGGGGAACCUGGCUGGGGUGACCUGCUGCCCGCUUCCUGCAGGGGAGGGGAGGGAAGAUGCAUCAGAGGGGCUGAAGGCCUGGCCCGGGCACAGACAGCCGUGCCCCCUGGAGGGAGGGCAGUGGGCUGGGUGGGCCCCGGCUGCUGGUCAGCGCUUCUCCCGCUGACGUGAUCGCUCGCGACGCUUGCUCCUGUGUGGCAAUUCUUCAAGUGAUAAUUAUUGCAAAAUUAUGUCAAAGUUGUCCUGGCUCAGGGCCUCCUGGAGGAGAAGGGCGGGAGGCUGGGGAGGGGGUUGGGGUGGGGGCAGGGGCCCUUCAUUUUCUCCACCAACUGUCACAGUCGAUUUGUGGGGCUGCCGCUUAGGCUUUUAUUAAAGACUCUGUUAAUGCUGAGGGAAAGUGGCAGAUCUGGACUGGGAGGGCCCCUCUGUGGUCCCCAGCCCGCAGUUGCCGGGGUGACGGCCCCCGCACGGAGCAUGCCCGGGAAGGGCCUCUGCUGUGUCAGGGCGAUGGGGCCGAUGGCCAAUCAGAGCGGCCACACCGUGUGACCUCAAAGUCAAGCUAUCCGGGGCAGGGACACGAGGCCAGGCUGGGCCGAGCUGGGUCCGGAAGGGAGCUGGGCGGGUGAGGCUGCAGGAGGCCAGCAGAGCAGGGGUAAAAGAAGUUGCUGACAGGGCCGUCCAGUGAGCCUUCCCCUACAAUCCCCCAGUGAUGGAAAUAUUAAUUUGCCCCAAGGCGCUGUAGCUGACAGAGAGCUGCUUCAGAGACAGCAAGUGGCAUUUUAUUAAAAAAUAAAACGGCCCCCUCCCCUGUGCUUGACCUUUCUUUUGGGAGGAGACUUUUCUAAUGAAAACAAAGUACUUGACAGUCUGGCCACCGAGCCCAGGUGGCCCUGGAGUGGGCCCUGCCCCAUCCAUCAGGCACCUGGCUGGAAGGGCGUGGCCAGCGACGCCCCACCCAUGCCUGGACCAGGAGGCGGUCCCUCCGUGCGGCCGCCCGGCAUGAGCACCCUAUUGGGCCUGUGAGAGUUUUCAGACCUCGGGACUCCACAUUCCAGCAGCUCGACAAAGUCACCUGCCCAAGGUCCCAGGAAAACAUGGCCCGCUCCCCUGCCAAGCACUGGCAGCCUCUGCAAGGUGUGGGCAGAGCCCCGGACUGGGCCACAGGGACCCUCAGUCUUGGCCGGUUCUGAGAGGGUUUCAAAUGGGAACAGGGCAUCUAGGCCCAGGAGCCCCACUCCUGCGGGCAGCGCUUUGGUUCGCCACUUCCUAGUCAUGUGCCCGGGAGAGACCAUCCCUGACCGUCUGCUGGCUCCACGACGUGGGUCUCUGUCUGGCGUCCUGCCUGCUGUGUCCCCAGUACCCGGCUCGGAGCCUGGCUCUCAGCAAGCAUCAGUGGUUGUUGAAUGAAUAAGUGAAACGAGCCACAUCCCAGAUGUGAACUGAACUCUCCUCAAGGAUUCAACAAAUAGGAACUACCCAGAGCAGGGAAACUGGGAGAGGAGUGAGGUAAACAGAAAACACCCCCACCCCAAUCAUCAGAGAAAAACGGAGGGAAAUCUUUUUUAAAUGGAAAUUUAUGAAAUUAUAGGAAAGCAGGAAAGAGAACUGCGCCCCUCAGUGAACCAGCGUGGAGAAGGAAGAUGCAACUCCGGGGCUCUGGCCCUUUUCUGUCUGACAUGGCAGUCCCUGGCCAAGUGUGGCCGUUUAAAGUGACAAUCCUGCUUCCCAAUCACAGACCCAGCUUCAAGCACCAACAGCCACAUGUGGCCAGCGGCUGCCAAGUCAGACAGUGCAGAAUAGAAGGCUUCCAAUGCCUGGAAAGUCCUACUGGGAUGGCACUCAUGGAGGAGGGAGCCUGGGAAGUGUGUCCCUGGGCCUGGAGGUGUCCAGGUGUGAGGUGCAGCCCCACUACCGCUGGGCUGGACGCAGGCCCCUCUCCAGGUCAGCUGGAGGAAACGCUUGGCACGCCAGGGGCCCUGGGCCUGCUCUCAUCAGGGUGGACUUGGGAUGUGGGAGGGUGAGCAGACAGGGAGGGGGGACCUGCAGUGGCCCCAGGGAGGCGGGGCAGCCGAGGAGGCAGGGACCAUCGCCCCCAGCUCACAGAUGGGGAAACAGAAGCAUGGCCCGCCUACUGUGGGGAGCCACAACCAGGGGCCCCACAUAGAAACCAACAGGAUGGGGGCGAAGACCAGGCAAAGAGGGGGUGCUGGCAGGCAGGGGCCACAUGGACACUUCUUCCAAACACCCCCCGACUCUGCUCUGCAGCCUGAGGCCAGGUGGCCACCCCAGUCCAGAAGGUGCCUGCUUUCUGGGCAGGACCCAGCCUGCUCACCUGGGUCAAAGGUGGCAGAGGGCUUGAGGGCAGCUGCAGCCAGCCUGGCCAUCAUAGGCGAGAUGAGGCCCUUGCUUGCAGAGAUCCUCUCCAUGAUGGAGGCAGGCGGCGCCGGGACAGAGGCGGCAGCCGCGGGGGCUGAGUCUCCAGCUCCCGAGGCGACCAGCGUGGGCGUGUCAGGGGUGGCUGAGGCUGCUGCCCCAGACGACACGGCACCCAGGAGGCUGGGGGUGCCCACGGGCAGGGAGGUGCUCCCACGGCCAGCCAGGAGGGGGAAGUAGGGUGUGGGGGUGGGCAGGCCCGAGGUGGAGAGGGCCAGGGCCAGGGGGAUGGAGCCGGGCAGGCCCUGGGGCAGCAGCCCCGAGAUCUUGCUGUUGGGAGGUUUGGUGGCGCUGGGCCCAGCCUCGGUGGCGGCAGUGGCGGCAGCCAGGGACGCAGAGGACUGCUGGCUGGUAGGGGAGGCGCUCAGGCUGGAGUUCUUGCUGCUCAGGGCGGAGAAGUCGACAAGGUCGUCGUUGCUGGACUCCUCGUGUUCCGUGUCCUUGGCGCCCAGCAGCGAGGGCGGCAGCCCCAGCGCGCCCGAGGAGCGGAUGUGCCGGCGCUCAUGCUUGCGCUUGUGAGAGGUCAUCUGGCUGGUGGAGGUGAAGGUGAAGCCGCAGCCGGCGCGGAUGCAGUGGAAGUGGUUGGUAGCCUUGCUGUACACGCAGCCCUCGUACUUGCACUCCUCGUACUUGUAGAACUUCUUGAAGCCGUCCUUGGCGUAGGCAUCGUCCUUGAUGUGGUAGCUCUUGUGCUUCUCAAUGUCACACUUGUUCUUGAAAGUGAAUGUGCAGCCGGGGCGCCUGGAUGGGACAUUGGGAGCCUGGCAUGAGACCCAGAGGAGGCCCCGCCCUGCUGCCACAAUGGCCCUGGAAGGGACAGUCCCCCGGGUGGAAGACCCAGGCUGGACACCAAGGCA